rnacentral:rRNA from 1 species
UACGUAGGGUGCGAGCGUUGUCCGGAAUUAUUUGGGCGUAAAGAGCUCGUAGGCGGUUUGUCACGUCGGAUGUGAAAACCCGGGGCUCAACCCCGGGCCUGCAUUCGAUACGGGCAGACUAGAGUUCGGUAGGGGAGUCUGGAAUUCCUGGUGUAGCGGUGAAAUGCGCAGAUAUCAGGAGGAACACCGGUGGCGAAGGCGGGUCUCUGGGCCGAUACUGACGCUGGAGGAGCGAAAGCGUGGGGAGCAAACAGG